rnacentral:lncRNA from 1 species
UACUUUGUGGAUACCCAUGGAUCUUGAAACACUUAUCAAUUAAGUGUCCAGAUUUUUUACAGUAUCUACAGAAUAAAGGUCCUCUGGCUUGAUCAAAACUGACUCUCUGUCUGAAAGGAGAAGGAGGAGAAGGCACUGUGGCCUUGUUAAAUCCAACAGGCUGCCUAUUAGUACGGACAUGUCUGGACUUGUCUUUGCUUCUCAUCAUUGAGGACCAUAUUAUAGACAUUGU